CACAGAAAUUGAUAAAUUGCCACUUUCUGCAGCCAUUAUGUUUGCCUUUGUAUCCCGAAGAGUAAACGCCUCUCUCCCUUUCUCUCUCUCGCUCACGUGUGUGUGCGCGCGUUAGAUGACAUUUAUUCAUUUUAUGCAUCCUGGGUUCUACUGGUCGUCCCACCUCAGUUCCUGUAGCAAAGAGACUUGAGUCUGAGCCACUAAUUAUCACCCGUGAGGUUUCCUCCCCGAGCAGGAAGCAGCAGGCCAGAGCUGCGCUCUCUCAGUGCACUCUCCAACCAAGCAUCAGUCACCACUCCCGGUCCAGCCCCUGUGGCCAAGAGCUGGCGUGCAGGCUGCGGGAGGCAGCUGGCUGUGCAAGACCCUGGCAGGGCCCUCGCCUCCUGAGAAACCGAGAGUCAGAACCAAAGCCAGGCUGUCCUGGUUGGAGACUGAGCCAGAAAGGGUGGCUCACCUCACGGUGAGGCUGUCGAGUGACCUGAGAGCCUCAGACCCUCACGUCAGCCGGAUGUCGCACCAGCCUGCUGUUGCAGCGAAUUAGCAGGACCUGGGGGGCUUUAAGAGGUG
rnacentral:lncRNA from 1 species